UACGUAGGGUGCGAGCGUUAAUCGGAAUUACUGGGCGUAAAGCGCACGCAGGCGGCUUUGUAAGUUAGAGGUGAAAGCCCAGAGCUCAACUCUGGAAUUGCCUUUAAGACUGCAUCGCUUGAACAUCGGAGAGGUGAGUGGAAUUCCGAGUGUAGAGGUGAAAUUCGUAGAUAUUCGGAGGAACACCAGUGGCGAAGGCGGCUCACUGGCUCGACACUGACGCUGAGGUGCGAAAGCGUGGGGAGCAAACAGG
rnacentral:rRNA from 1 species